rnacentral:lncRNA from 1 species
GGCAGGAAGAACAUUUCAAUCAUUUUUGGGUUAGGAAGAAAAUCCAAGUUGACAUUUCUCAUGGAUAUUUACUGUUUUUUUUUUUUUAAAUAGCUAUUUCCCUUUUAAUCUUUGCAACAUAAUAUGAAUGAUUUGAAUAAGUUUUUGCAGCUGUACAAAAAUAACCCUGCCUAUGGUACUAUGUUAAUUUGUUACUGGCUUUGCAAUUUAGAAGAUUUGAUUAUUUCAAACUCCACAGCCUCUAUGAUGUCCUCCAAUGAUCCCUGCCUUCUUGUAUUUACACCUUCGUGCAGUCUGUUCCCAGGUCUGUGAGACCAAUAGCCUAAUGAUGGCGUUUCACUUCCAGGAUAAGGUUAUAAAAAUCUGCCUUCUGUCCUAGUCAUCCUUUCUAUUUCCCUCUCUCUUGGAUCUCUUGCUCUGGGAGAAGCUAUGCUGUGAGCAGUGCUGUGGAGAGGCGCACACAGUGAGGAACUGAAGCCCCCUGCUGACAGCCAUGCGAAUGAGCUUGGAAGAGUAUCCUUUGGACCAGUCAAGCUGUAGAUGACUGCAGCCCCACUAACACUGCAGAGGUGUGAGAGAUGUUGAGCCAGAACCACCCAGCUAGGCCAGUCUUGGAUUCCUGACCCACAGAAACUGUCAGAUAAUAAAUGCUUAUUGUUUGAAGCCAAUAAGACUGGGGUUACUUGUUAC